rnacentral:rRNA from 1 species
CAUGUAGGCGGUUUUCUAAGUCGGACGUGAAAGCUCCUGGCUCAACUAGGAGAGGCCGUUCGAAACUAGGAAACUUGAGGGUGGUAGAGGAGAGUGGAAUUCCCGGUGUAGUGGUGAAAUGCGUAGAUAUCGGGAGGAACACCAGUGGCGAAGGCGGCUCUCUGGGCCACUCCUGACGCUCAGAUGCGAAAGCUAGGGGAGAGAACG